GUGCCAGCCGCCGCGGUAAUACGGGGGGUGCAAGCGUUGUUCGGAUUUAUUGGGCGUAAAGCGCGUGUAGGCGGUUUGUUAAGUCUGAUGUGAAAGCCCUGGGCUCAACCCAGGAAGUGCAUUGGAAACUGGCAGACUUGAAUACGGGAGAGGGUAGUGGAAUUCCUGGUGUAGGAGUGAAAUCCGUAGAUAUCAGGAGGAACACCAGUGGCGAAGGCGGCGGCGUGGACCGAUAUUGACGCGGAGACGCGAAAGCGGGGGUAGCAAACGGGAUGAGAUACCCUGGUGGGCUACGCCGUAAACGAUGAGUACUAGGUGUUGCGGGUAUUGACCCCUGCAGGGCAGCAG
rnacentral:rRNA from 1 species